rnacentral:tRNA from 1 species
AGGGCUGUAGCUCAGUGGUAGAGCACUUGCCUAGCAUGCAUGAGGCCAUAGGUUCAGUUCUCAUCAUUACUG